CGGGCGGGAAACCUUUGCUGGAAGUCCCUCCCGACUUCUCCGCGGUGGCCCACCAGGACAGGGCUCGCCGUCCUGUCAUAGACUAGCUCCUGAGCCCUCGCUUCCAGGGCCCCACCAGCGCUCUCUGCAGCUAACAAUCCUUCGCUUUCAGCGCUCGAAGAAUCAUUCUUAGCCGCGGCACCUGCCUCCGCUCUGCGCGGUCCUCGUACCAGGUGAAGGAGCGAAGGUUUUGAAACUUGACCGAGGCAACCGAGCUAGUACUUUCCCAGGAAAGCCGCAACAGAGGCCAUCUUCAGCCCGGUACUCCGAGCUCCUGGCACACAGUAGGCGCUCAACUCGGUGAUCCUGAUUUGGGGCUAGGAUCAAGAAUGACUGAUAUAGAUGGUUCUGUUACCUCCUCAGUGUCCCCCCCCCAAGCUCAUAUCCAGCGGGAUCUUCUGCAGAAAGGGUUAAUCACAUCCAUGAAACUGAAGUUGGACGAGGAAUUUGUUCUAUAAGGUUACACACCUUCCGACUUAGAUUUUUCCCAACUCCAAAGCCUCUGCUGCCAUCAACUGCAGACUGCAAGUUAAGCCCAGCAGAGAGGGUCCCGAGAACCACCAGAAGCAGGAGAAAGCAGUCACCGCCUGGGGCGAAGGGGAAGACCUUCCGGCUCACUCAGCCUGGACUCACUGAGCUUCUUUCCUGGUCUGCAAACGUGUCCUCCACAGCUGCGAUACUUAGAACUCCAUGGCCUCCAGCCCACUUCUUCAGCUCUGCAUCUUGUUUUCUCUUACUGAAUGCUCACUUGCCAAUCUCAAGUGAGGGGAAUGCGUCUCGUUGCUGAUUUUUAAAUUCUUUUCAGAAUCACCACUCUUUUUUAAUUUUAAGAUUUUUAUUAAUUUAUUUGACAGAGCGAGCACAAGCAGGGGGAGUGGCAGAGGGAGAAGGAGAAGCAAGCUCACCAGUAAAUAGGGAGCUCGAUGAUGUGGGGCUUGAUCCCCGGACCUUGGGAUCAUGACCUGAGUCGAAGGCAGAUGGAUAACAGAGUGAGCCACCCAGGCGCCCCCAGAAUCACUACUCUUGAAGGGCUACCAGGUUGGGAGAGCAGACUGCUCCUUGCUGUUGGGUUGGCAAACUCUAUCCAUAACAAGGAGCAGCGUGAGAAGGCCCUGCUCCCCAGAAACUUAUUUGCAGGGUUAUAUAACCCCCGAGGUCUUUAUAACUCAUGGUGUGUAUAGACGCUUAGGUUUAGGGCAUGGAGUCAGACUCUUAGACUUCAAGUAACAAGUAGCAGAAUAACAGCAGUGAAAGUGAUAAAAUAAUAUAUCUAAUUCCUAGAAAGACUUUUUUAAAAGUGUGAAUUCUAGGGGCACCUGUGUGGCUCAGUCAGUUAAGUGUCGUCUGCCUUUGGCUUGGGUCAUGGUCCCAAGGUUCCGGGAUCCAGCCCAGGGUCGAGCCGUGCUCGGCGGGAGUCUGCUUCUCCCUCUCCCCCGCC